ensembl:lncRNA
GAAAUAAACACCAUCCUUCAGUAUUCCUGCCACGACCUUGUCAACAGCAUCCCCCAAUUCGUCUCUCAUGAACAAACUUAUCCUUAGUGGGAAUCGAGGAGGGCUUCCUGGAAGAGGCGAUGUCUGAGCUGCCUGGAAACACAAGAAGGCACACUACAGGUUGGAGGGAGGGGAGAAGGGGAUUCCAACUGGAGACGUUUUCUGCGCUAAAAGAAGGGUGGUGGUAGAGGGAAAGGGUCGGCAAUUUGCAAAUUCGAGAGUGAGCAGGCUGUCAAAGUCCCCGAAACCGUGAUGAAUGCGCCCGGGCUUCCAGAGCCGGCCCAAGUGCUCCUGAGCGAUGGUGAUUUAUGACGGCUGAGAUUUUUCUUAAGCAAGUGGUUUUCGGAGAAAAAAGAAAGGUCACAGUGAGUUAGGCCUUACAUAUCUUAUCUUGUUCUCCACCAGCCGGCAAUCCUGAACUUGGCGGAGCCCGUGGGAGUGUGGGCUGCGGGAACGGCAUUAAUACCCAACAAACAAGUGCAGGGGUCCCCCUGACGGGUACGCGGCUGGGCGGGGUGCUGCUCUUUUUCUCGGCGUUGGUGACGGGGGCAGGCAGUGGGGGUGGCUCCCCGCAGAGCCCAAGGGCUGAGAUGAGCAAACCCAAGCUGAGCUGGAGGAGGAGGCCGCUGGGCUGGGGGUCCCAGGCUAUCGUGGGGAAGAGGGAGGCGAGGUGGCCGUGAGUGAGGAAGGUGGGCACUGCCUGAUGUCCGCCAGUGGUGGGACUUGGUCCUGGUCCCCGCUGCAGCCAGGCUCUGGCAUAGCUGUGCCAAGCCCUCCACACUUGACAUGAGUGGGCGGGCUUGGUUCGAGUCCUGGCUCUACUCCUUUCAGGCUGUGUGACUCUGGGAAGCUUGCUCAACCUCUCUGGGCCUUGGAUUCCCUGACCACCAUAGCACUCAUUGCUACUCGUUCCAAACAACGUGGUCUGUCUGGUUAUGGGCUGUCUCUCCCCCCUGUUCUCGGCUGGAUCCAGUGCCCAGAAUGUGCUGGACGCGUGGUAGGUUCUGGACAUUUCUCUGUCGUUAGAUGAAAUGGAAUGAGUGGAGGUGUGAGGGUGAAAUGAGGCACUCCUGGAGUUCGGAGGACAGUCAGGAAGACUUCCUGGAGGAGGCAGCCCCUUUGGUACAUCUUCUCCCCAUAAUAUCGGCUGCCUGCCCAGAAUGGGGCUGCAGGAGGACACCCAGCUGGUGUAGAAAGAGGGGUCUGCUUAACCGAUGGUUGGGGGCUGGCUUCUAACCAGCCCGUGGGGCGGCGCAGCAGCUUUGAAGGUGGCUGUGAGAGGAGGGAGGGGCGCCCCACUGGCCUGGACCCCUGGACAGCACUCGGGCUGUGGAUGCCCUCGCUCGGUGCAGCACUGGGUCUCCGGCAGCCCCUGGCACGCUGAGACCGGUGGGGCUGGGGUUGGACUGUAGGUUAUCUGACUGGAGGGCCCGGAAAGAGCAGCCCGGGAGCCUCAGAAACAGGCCAGGGGGGGAGGAGGCCCGGCUCUCAGGAAACAGCUGGCCAGCCCCCCUUGCAGGCGCUCCCGCACUGCUCAGCCGGGCUUCCCACGGAAUUCUGGGGAAAGACCCCUGGGACCGUCGUGAGGAGAUGGCCAGCCCUGGUCCAGGCGGAUGGGGACCCCCAGGCCUGUGCCUGCCGCGGCCCUGUGGGCUGUGCCUGGGCCCUGGUAGGGAUGGAAGAUGUUUGCCCUCCUGGUGUCUGGAAACAUUUCUUCCUCCCAGGCCUGGCCCCGGGGCCUUGGCACGUCCUGCUGUCUCCUGCUCUCCUUGGCUGCCUUCUUCAGCUCUCGCCCUGUGUCCUGUCUGCUCUGGUCCGCCUGCCUGGCCUGGUCCUGGCCUCUUAUAGUGCCCUCCUCCCAAAAGGGGUAUGUCCACCUGGGACCUCAGAAUGUGACCGUUUUUGGGAACAGGGGUAUUUGCAGAUGUGAUGAACGUAAGGAUCUCGGGAUGAGACUGGCUGGGAGCGGCGUGGGCCCUAAGUCCAAUGACGGUAUGCCCACGUGAGAGACAACAGAAGGACACAGAUGCCCAGAGGAGAGGCCACAUGAGGACGGAGGCGGAGGCUAGACAAUGUGGGCACAAGUCGGGGGACGCCUGGAGCUCCCCGAAGUUGGAAGGAGCAGGAAGGACCCUCCUCUGGAGGUUUCGGGGGGACAACGGGCCUGCCUGUACCUUGAUUUUGGAUUUUUGUCUUCCAGAAUGUGAGAGAAUAUGUUUCUAUGUUUUUGUUUUUGAAAUAUUAAUUCUGGUAAAAUACACAUAACAUAAAAUUUACCAUUUCUAGGUGUCCAGUUCAGUGGCACUAAGUAAUUCACAUUGCUGUGCAGCCGUCCCCACCAGCCAUCUCCAGAACUUUCCAUCUUCCCAAACUGAAACCCUGUCCCCAUUAAACAUGAGCUCUGCCCCACCUACCACCGGCACCCACCAUCCUACUUCCUGUCUCUGUUGGUCUUCUGACCGCUCCAGGGACCUCACGUGCACAGAAUCACACAGUAUUUGUCCUGCUGUGACUACCUUCUUUCACUCAGCCUAAUAUCCUACAAGCUUGUCCGGGUCGCAGAAUUUCCCUUUUAAGGCUGAAGAAUAUUCGGUGGUAGGUAUAUGCCACACUGGAUUUAUCCAUUUGUCUAUUGAUGGGCGCUUGGGUUGCUUCCACCUUUUGGCGAUUGUGAACGAUGCCGCUGUGAGAGUUGGGCGUGCUGCUGCAGGUCUGUCAUUUCCGGCUGCCCGGCUGUGGCGGUCUGCUCAGUAGUUCUGAGAGGCGGACACGGGCUCCAGGUGCCCACAAGCUGUCCCAGACCUCGGUUGUGAUGUGGCGGAAAGGGCAUGGGCUCUGGUCCGACCCUGCACCUUGGGGAGGGGACACUGAGCCCCGCGAGCCCUGAGCGCUGAGACGUGGGUGUGAGAAUGGAUGUGAUGAGGGCGCACGGGCAGCCGUGGGCUCAUGGAGGGUGCCUCCAGGCACCAGGAGGAAGACGACAAAGGAGGAGGACCGGUCCCCGCUCGGGAGGCUGAGCUUCAUUGGGGAGCGCAGGAAUCCUGACCGGGAGGGCGAGGGGAAGGCGGACAGGGAGGCAGCGGCCCAGGGCCAGGCGGGGAGGCCUCUCCUGGCCACACCCAGCAGCACCCGGGGCUUCUCUCCGUUGGGAGCCUCGGGCAGCAGGUGAGGAAGGAGGAAGUGCGUUCUCCACGCCUGGAGCUGACGGCUCACCGGGUCUCGGCGGGAUUGGCAUCUCCUCGAUGGCAUCAGCUCCUUGGAACCGGAAAGGCAGUUUCCAUUGGGUUUGUCCUGGCCACCCACCCAGGGAGACGGAGUCUAGCCUGGUUCCCAGAGUUUGGGCAAAGACCGAUCAAUGGCCUGGCGUCCGAGUGAGGACGUGCAAUGCAUUUUUGGAGGAAAAAUGCCUCUUCUCGGACCUCCCCCAGCAGAGCCUUCCCCACGGGCGGGUUGGCUGUGGAGCGAAGGCCCAGUGCUGGGUGCCAGGUGACAGAGGGGACCCUCCGGACGCCAUUUCCACAUCCUGGAGCCUCCGUUCUGGAGGGGUGUGUGUGUCCUAUGGUGUGGUGACUGAUGACCAGAGACCGAGCGGCUUAAACCAACAGACACUCCUUCUCCUCCAGCUCUGGAGGCUGGAAUGUGAAAUCGGCGUGUGGGCAGGCCCAGCCCCCCGGAAGCUCCAGGCACAGCUCUAGGCCCUGAGAUGAGACACAAAGACGAACAACGCCAACGCGGCCCCUGACCCCAUAAGAUCACAUCUUGGCAGGGAGGGUCAGACGGUGAAGAAACGAGUAACUCCUGGUGCCAAGGUAGCGGCCGAGACGGUGUGUCUGGAAGCUCCGGCUUCCGAGCCUGUGUUUCUGCUCCAGACCCCGUGUCCUGGCGCCAGCCCAAGGAGGCCGUGAGCCCCUGCUGUUUCCCGCCUGGCCGAGCGCCCGCUCCUCCGGGAUCCCUCCCGCCCCUCCACACCUGGCGCUUCGGCCUCCUUCUCCGCCUGCCCUGAUGGUCGGCCGGCAAAGGCACUUCAUAGUUUUCUGGAUGCCUCCUAAUUUCAACUUCCAUCCACUGCCUGCUGGGGGGUCUUGGCUUCAGGGCAAGAACUGGGCAGGUGGCAACCUCAGCAGAGGCUCCGGAAGCUUCUGCAAGAGCACCGGGCUUGUCUUUACGAGGGACAAGCAGGCCCUGGCCCUCCCUCAUGUUGGAGCACAGGUGAGCUUCAGGUGUAAGAGGGUCCUAGGCCCAGAUUUGACUCCUCUUCAGGUGGUGGGGCUCCGAGGGAGGCACAGAGAGGCGGGGGGCCUACUGGGCUUUGGCCUGGUGCCCGCCCAGGUCUCCAGCCCCGCAGCACACGAUGGGAUCCCAGGAAGCAGAGGGGCUUGUGGGCUGACCUGGCCUUACCUCUCACAAGGAGACUGCGGCUCUCAGUGGAGCCGCUGCCGAACCCUGCCCGCCUCCUGGUCUCACCCUGUGGGGGCUCUGUGCCCUUGUGGGGCUGUGGGAGCCACAUGCCUGGGUUGCCCGCCCUGUCCCGUGCUGCCUCCACCCCAGAUGGGCCAGGUACCCUGUCUGCUCCUGCUGCCUCCCUCUCCUCUGGCCGUCCCUCCUCCAAUGCCGGGGUCGGCACUGGGGGCCCAGGGAGGCCUUGCAAAGUCCCCAGGCCUGUGGGGAAGACAAAGGAGAGACUGCAACACGGAGAGAGGAGUGGCAUCCAGACACUGGGCCGGAAGGAGGGUCCUAACCCCGUGGUCCUGACAAGCGGGGCACCUGGGAGCUGGCUGUGGUCAGGCCCAGCCCGGGGGGCCCUAGGCUCCACUCAGGCCCUCCCAUGUGCCUAGCCCCCCGUGGCCCCCGUGUGCCUGCUUCUGAGCCACCAUGAGCCUCCCCAGUCAGGGAAGUGGGCUUUCAGUUGGUCCUUUGCGUGGCUUCCCGGUGCACCUUUAAGUCCGGGGGCCCAGACAUGUGAGCCUGUCCUGAAGGGCACCGCCCACCCUGCCUGGCUGGGGUCCGGCCACCUCAGGAGUAGGUUGGGACAAGACAGUGGACGCUGCCUGGCCACAAAAAUAUCUCAGUGGACUGACUCUGGACCCCGGAAUUAAGCUAAAAGCUGCUGCGAUUGAUGUUUUCAGGAAAUAGCAUUCGGUCAGAGGCAGGGAAAUUUUUUCUCAGUGGGCUCCCUUUCCAUUUUUUUGGGUGCAUCUUAUUGAUUUCUGCACUGAAAUAGUGCUUUCAACGUUUUAAAAUAGAAUCCUAGGUGAAGGGAUCCCAGACUGGGGAUUUAAGUGGAAAUUGACACGGCUCUUCAUAAAAUCACCUUAAAAACAAGGCUCUUGGCUUUGGACGCCGGCCCGGCGCCUCCUGCCCGCCCCUUCACUUGCUCCCGCUCCCUGCUCUCAGCUUUUGGGCUAAAAUAGUCACUCGGACUAUUGCUCACUCGGUUCCAUCUUUCAGCUGUGGAUAUUUUCUCUUUUCUCUGUUGCUAGAUGUGGUGGGAGAGAGAGCGAGGCUGCAGCUCAGACCCCGGAGUUGCCUGCAGACAGUGUGGUGGCCGGCCGCUCCUGCCCUCUGCCAUGCCCCCAGCGCCCGCGACAGUGCCUGGCUGUGCCCAGGAACCUUAAGGGAGGCGCUCCUGCUGGUGGCGGGCUGGGCGUGCUCUUCCUUCUCCGAGGGCCGCUUUCUGCAAGGGUCUGUGCAGCCGCUCGUCACCCUGAUGCAGCUGCCACAGGAGACCCUCCUCCCUCCACUGACGUCCCGGGCUUGGGGUGCUGGCUCAGCCCACGACAGUGCAGGGUCGCCCCAUCCUGAUCCCCCGCUGGGCUGAAGCCUCUGUGUCCUCCUCCUGCCUCCUCCUGCUGCUGGAGUGCGUUCUGGCCCAUCCCUGCCACCCAGGCCCGAGGCCGUCCACAUCCUCCUCAACCCGUCCGGUGUGUGGGUCUGUGUUUCCUCUCUCUGGUCAGUCUCGCAGCCUCUGCUGCUGCCCUGCUCAGGUCCCAGGGAGGCCGGAGCCAGCUGGGCUGUGGUGGGAAGCGCCCCGGUCCCCCAACUGGCCCCUCUGUGCGACCCACGGCUCUGACUGUGGCUUUGGCGUCUACAGAACCCGUGUUGCAAGCACCUGUGAGUGAUUGGCCCACAGCCCGCUCGUCCUCACUCCUGCCUUUCCUCUCUCCGCCUUUUCUUGCUCCUAUACCUUCGCUGGCUCCCCACUGCCCUCAGAAUUCAGUCUGGCUCCCUGGCCUGGCGUUUAAUGCCUUGAAGGCUGCAGGCCCCUCCUGCUGGUACCCCUGCGUGCAGUGCCCCCAACACAGCAUCAUCCCUCCAUUGGGUCAGCGUCCCCAGUCUGUUGGCCACCCCCGUCCAGAUCACAUGGCCCUUCUGCUUUGCAGCACCGGCCCUUCCCCGAGAGGAGAUUGGUCCCCACAGGCUGUGCACUGCCCCUGUCCAGCCUGCUGGGGGGCUGGGAGCAUGCACAGGUGGGCAGGGCGCCUGGCUGGUCCUGCCAGCCCAGCUCCUUGCCCAACCAGGUACUGGUGGCAAUGACCAAGUUCCAGAGGGCAGUGAACAUGCCUGUGGGUCUCUGCACUGCCCGGAGAGGGUCCCUUGUGUCCUUUGACCUUGGGACCACUUUCCUGGUGGGUUGUCUUCCUGCUGCCUGAGCCCUCAGCUCCCUCUGCCCGGAAUCCCCCCAGCUGGCCAGAGCCCCCCGUGCCUGGAGCUCCCUCCCCCCGCUUGCUUCCUGCCAGCAGCCUUCCUGCCUCCCAGACCCUCUGCCCUGCCCCCUAGUUAUGGUACUUCCAGAUGUGGGCCUCCAAUGAUCGGUCUCUGAGACCCCAUGCAGGAUCUCCCCACCUGCCGACCUGCCCCCCUAACCUGACCCCAUCCCUGUGGUUUGGGGCGUCUGCUCCCUAACUCCACACUGGGCACCAGAAGAGAGGAAGAGAGGGC